rnacentral:misc_RNA from 1 species
UUUCCGUAGGUGAACCUGCGGAAGGAUCAUUACAGAGUUCAUGCCCUCACGGGUAGAUCUCCCACCCUUGAAUAUUUAUACCUUAGUUGCUUUGGCAGGCCGUGGAAGCACCAUGGGCUCCGGCUUAUGCGUGCCUGCCAGAGGAAACAAACUCUGUUUUUAGUGAUGUCUGAGUACUAUAUAAUAGUUAAAACUUUCAACAACGGAUCUCUUGGUUCUG